rnacentral:rRNA from 1 species
AAUUCGAAGCAACGCGCAGAACCUUACCAGCCUUUGACAUGGCAGGGCGAUUUCCAGAGAUGGAUCUCUCUCAGCAAUGAGCCUGCACACAGGUGCUGCAUGGCUGUCGUCAGCUCGUGUCGUGAGAUGUUGGGUUAAGUCCCGCAACGAGCGCAACCCUCGCCUUUAGUUGCCAUCAUUCAGUUGGGCACUCUAAAGGGACUGCCGGUGAUAAGCCGCGAGGAAGGUGGGAUGACGUCAAGUCCUCAUGGCCCUUACGGGCUGGGCUACACACGUGCUACAAUGGUGGUGACAGUGGGAUGCGAAAGGGCGACCUCUAGCAAAUCUCCAAAAGCCAUCUCAGUUCGGAUUGCACUCUGCAACUCGAGUGCAUGAAGUUGGAAUCGCUAGUAAUCGUGGAUCAGCAUGCCACGGUGAAUACGUUCCCGGGCCUU